GUCCGAUAAAACUCCAGCAUGUUAAUCUCUGCCUCAGAGUCACCUAACCUGCAACAUCCCUCGUAUCCUGCUGAGCAUGGGUUCAAGUGAUUCUGCCGUGAAGCAUUGCUUAGAAUCUGUCCUAGAUUUGUCUUCUAAACUCAGCACCAAAAGCUAUGUGAACUUGAGGCCUCCAAGUGACAGCUUUGCAAAGAGGCAGCUGUGAGUUUCUGCGAUUCCCUGUGGAGGCUGGGGUUCUUGUGGAAGGUUAAUUCUAGAUCUUUCUCUUCCCACUCUGUCUCACUCUCUGACCAAGCAGUAUCCCCACAGCCUCUUGCUGCCAGCGUAUCCCUCCUUUGCUGUCUACAAGAUGGCUCAACUUGGCUCUUUUUUCCAUGAUAUCCAUCUGACCCACAGGAAACUCAUGCAGUAGCCAACAUUCUUUUUUUUUAAUCAUUUAUAAUGUAUUAUAUAAACCUAUAUACCUCAAAUGCUAUUGGAACCAGCAUAAUUAUCUUACUAGUUCCCUCAUGAAUUAAUGAAUUUAAUAACUUAUUUGAUAUGUUAAUAUAUUUUUACAAGAAUCGUGUCUUCAACUUUUUGGAAGUUAUACUUUGAAAAAUGUAAGUAACAGUAUUGUUACACAAACUCCUCUUAGCUCAUUAUAUUUUUAAGUCUCUUUAACGUCGUGGGUUUUUUUCAUUCUUUCUGCCUCAUUGUCUUUUCCACCACUGUAUUUCAUUUAAUUGAGUAUAUAUGGAGUAGAGUAACUUUUUAUUCUUUGUUGUUUCUUGGAUGCAACUUUAGAUUCACGUUCAUUUUUAUUUAAUGAAUGAAUGAAAUAAUGUAUAUUUCACUCUCUCAGGAAAUAAGGUAGAAUGUAUGUUGAGUUUAAUUCCGCCAAAUGGACUCAGAAUAUUUCAAAUGCAUUAUAACAGUUUUUUUAAUAUAUUUGAAAUAUUUUGGCAUAAAUACAUACAUUUUACUAAGUAAUAUUCUAAUUUUAUAAAUUCUCCAGAUGUCUGGGCACUAACGCAGCUAUCCGAAUAAAGUAAUAAUGUCCUUAAAUUAUGGAAACAUAUCUGCCAUAUUUCUUCCUACUUAGGCCAGAAACUUCAAGUUAUUGUAUUAACUCAGAAUUCAGACAAAGCUAAUGCAAAAACAACCAAAUAAAAAACAGCAAAGAAGCUUUAAAAAAUCACUUUUAUUAUAGUGCUUGAGGCUCCCAUUUGAAUGAUACAUUCUUCAGUUGAGUGUCAUUAUCACCUUAAUAUUCUAACGUCAUCAGUGAUUUUUCAUAUUCUGCAAAUUGCCUUUAACUUGUAGUAUUAAAAUUUUUAAAAAUGUUAAAAUCCAUGUAUUAACAAAGCUACAAUAGAAAACGAUUAAGUUAGAUAUUUCUUCUUAAUUUAAAGGAUAUUUAAAGGAGCUUAUUAAGUGAACAAAGGUCAGGAACUUGGAAACCUGUACUGAGGUCCACCUUAUGUUGUCCUAUAUCCCAUCUCUGGUUAGAUGUGCUGGCAGACUUCACCCAUUCACACCCCAAGACUGUUCUGGACAAGCAUAAUGGAGAACAGAAGGAAAUGUGUCUUUCUAUGAAUAGUCUUUCUGUGAAUGCAGGACUUAACACUGCUGGUUUGUUGCUCUCACUCUAUGUUUAUUAUUUAGAGGUUCUUCUAAAUUUGUAGUUAUUUGGUUUGUCCUUCUGAUUAUUUUGGUUUGGUUUGUUUAUGUCGGGAGCCUUUCCUUAAACUCCAACAUCUAGCCUCUAACUAGGCUCUGUUCCCUACCUCUUGGCAUCAAUUUCCAGUUCUCGAGGAAAGUGACUUUCACGGCCUUUAACUGAAACCAGCCCUAAACGGGGACUCUUGGUGGCUAUAACUUUUCUAGCCACUGCCUAGAAUAGCUGAGCUUUGAUAUCCUUAUUCCAUCCGAACCCGAUUCUGUACGUGGAGAGUUAUUUGCCUUGAUAUGCAUUCCAAGUCUACACCAUUGGAGGCAAUCUGUCAAAGUGUUGUCAUUGCAUUAGUGGGCGAAGGUUGUCUGCACCUCGGUUUAUCUUCAAAGAGUUUUCUUUAAGCACACCAUCAGCAAAAUAGAGGGAAAAACAGAUAAGAAGAAACAUAAGAAGAUUACAUAAUUUCUAUCAAUCAAAACCUAAUGUUUGUCUGCUGUUUGGUACUAAGUAUUGUCUCUGAAUGGAGACUCUGAUGCUUGGGCAAAUCUUGCUGAGCACCAAAAAACAUUUUUCAUAAAAAAAAAGGGAAGGAACACAUCAAUCUUGUAAAGAAUACCAAAACAUAAGGAGUUGAGACUGGAUUCAAAUUUUCAACUUGCCACUUCCCAGCUGUAUGACUUUGGACAAAUUAUUUACAUUUUCUGAGGCAGCAAAAAGGGUAUAAUACUUAUUCAUAUGCUUAUAAUGCAAAUUAAAUGUAAUAAUGUGUGUAACAUGACUAAAUGUUCAAUCAGUGAUAUACAAUAUUACGGUGCUUUUAUUACAUUAUGGCCUAAACCAAUCAUUUUUCAUAUUUCACUAACCCAGCAGCAUAGAAGGAGCAGCCCUGUCUCUAACAGCAAAGGCAGCCAUUCAGCAUGAGUAAUAGUGUUUCAUUCUGAAGAGACCCUCACGAGGAGACAAUACCAAAUGUCCCAUUUGCCAUAUCCCCAAAUAGCAACCUUGUGAGAAAAUAUGAAAGAGUCUUUUAUGACUAGCAUAUGGGAGUGACUGAUUUAUUUUUCAUCGGGGAGCAAGGAGUUCCAUGGAGGUAAAUUUUCUAAACAAAGAAGCAAAUUAUCAAGAAAAGUCAAUUUGUUUGUUCACCCAGGGCUGCUGUUUAGAAUAUCAUUUAUUGCACUGUUCAGUAACACUGCAGCAAACGCUUUUAGAUAGUGAUCCAACAAACAUACCUCAAUUCCUCUUUGACGCCAG
ensembl:lncRNA